AACGAACGCUGGCGGCAGGCCUAACACAUGCAAGUCGAACGAAACCUUCGGGGCUAGUGGCGGAUGGGUGCGUAACGCGUGGGAACCUGCCCUUAGGUUCGGAAUAACUCCGGGAAACUCGUGCUAAUACCGAAUGUGCCCUUCGGGGGAAAGAUUUAUCGCCUUUAGAUCGGCCCGCGUCUGAUUAGCUAGUUGGUUGGGGUAAUGGCUCACCAAGGCGACGAUCAGUAGCUGGUCUGAGAGGAUGAUCAGCCACAUUGGGACUGAGACACGGCCCAAACUCCUACGGGAGGCAGCAGUGGGGAAUCUUGCGCAAUGGGCGAAAGCCUGACGCAGCCAUGCCGCGUGAAUGAUGAAGGUCUUAGGAUUGUAAAAUUCUUUCACCGGGGACGAUAAUGACGGUACCCGGAGAAGAAGCCCCGGCUAACUUCGUG
rnacentral:rRNA from 1 species